rnacentral:rRNA from 1 species
CAGCAGUAGCCACGGUAAUACGUAGGUCCCGAGCGUUGUCCGGAUUUAUUGGGCGUAAAGCGAGCGCAGGCGGUUAGAUAAGUCUGAAGUUAAAGGCUGUGGCUUAACCAUAGUACGCUUUGGAAACUGUUAAACUUGAGUGCAAGAGGGGAGAGUGGAAUUCCAUGUGUAGCGGUGAAAUGCGUAAAUAUAUGGAGGAACACCGGUGGCGAAAGCGGCUCUCUGGCUUGUAACUGACGCUGAGGCUCGAAAGCGUGGGGAGCAAACAGGAUUAGAUACCCCAGUAGUCCCUGUCUCUUAUACA